CGCACAGUAAUUAUUGUGACGGGCAAAACAGACUCAGCAUAGGGAGACAGUAAGAUUUAUUACCUAUUACUAACAAGCUAGAGAAGUGAGAAACAAAGGAAAGAAACCAAAAGCACCUUCUCCCCCAUCCACCCUCUUCCACCUCCUCCCCUCGAGUGGCACAGGGGAACGGGGGAAUGGGGGGUUAUGGUCAGUCUAUAGCGCUUCUUCGCCGCCGCUCCUUCUUGGUCACUCUCGUCCCCUGUGCUGUGGGGUCCCUCCCACAGGAUAUAGUCCUUGCUGAACUGAUCCAGCGUGGGCUUCCCACAGGCAGCAGCUCUUCAAGAACUGCUCCAGAUGUGGGUCUGUACCACGGGGUCCAUCCCUCAGGAGCAAACUGCUCCAACCUGGAUCCCCCACGGGCAGCAGCUCCUGCCAGGUCACCUGCUCCUGCGUGGUCUCCUCUCCAUGGGCUACAGCUCCGGCCCGGAAUCUGCUCCGGCAGGGGUCUUCCACAGGCCGCAGCUUCCAUCAGUGCAGGUCCACCUGCUCCACCGUGGUCUCCUCCAUGGGCCACAGCGUGGAACCCUGCUCCACCGUGGUACUCCAUGGGCUGCAGGGGGACAGCCUGCUUCAACAUGGUCCUCACCACAGGCCUCAGGGGACUUCUGCGCCGGUGCCUGGAGCACCUCUCCCCCUCCUUCUUCACUGAGCUUGGCGCCUGCAAGGCUGUUCCUCACUCCUCUCACUCUCCCAGCUGCUGUGUGGCACAGUGUUUUUUUUUCCCCUGUCUUAAAUAUGCUCUCACUGAGGCGCAAAACAACAUCACUUAUUGGCUCAGCGCUGGUCAGCAGUGGGGCCCUUACCAAACAUGGGGCAGUGUCUAGAUUCUUCUCACAAAAGCCACCCCUAUGGCCCCCUGCUACCAAAACAUUGCCACGUAAACCCACUACACCCAGACAUGGGUACAGACUGGGAGAACUCAUUGAGACCAGCCCUGCAGAGAAGGACUUGGGGGUUCUGGUGGAUGAAAAGCUCGACACCAGCCAGCAGUGUGCUUGCAGCCCAGAAGGCCAACUGCAUCCUGG
rnacentral:lncRNA from 1 species